GNNNUNGCANANUCAGUGAUCAUCGAAUCUUUGAACGCACAUUGCGCCCGUCAGUAUUCUGGCGGGCAUGCCUGUUCGAGCGUCAUUACGCCCCUCAAGUCCCCUGUGGACUUGGUGUUGGGGAUCGGCGAGGCUGGUUUUCCAGCACAGCCGUCCCUUAAAUUAAUUGGCGGUCUCGCCGUGGCCCUCCUCUGCGCAGUAGUAAAGCACUCGCAACAGGAGCCCGGCGCGGUCCACUGCCGUAAAACCCCCCAACUUUUUAUAGUUGACCUCGAAUCAGGUAGGACUACCCGCUGAACUUAAGCAUAUCAAUAAGCGGAGGAAC
rnacentral:rRNA from 1 species